UCGAGUUAGGGUCUGUGGCCCGACCUCCAACCCUAUGUUUAAAUACCCUGUUGCUUUGGCGGGUCCGUCUCCGGACCGCCGGAGGUCGUCCCGGACCUCUGGCCCGUGCCCGUCGAUGGCCCCUCGCAAACUCUUGACCAAACAGGUGUCGUCUGAGUCUAAAACUUAAUAAUUA
rnacentral:misc_RNA from 1 species